GAUGGCUUGCUCUGCUUCCAGCUGGGUCAAUUAGCAAGUAUCCUCACCAGUUUAAAAACCACCCGGGGCUCGCAUCGCGCUCACUCACUGGCUGCCAAGGAGGACAAAUGGAAAAAUCACUUCUUCCUAAAGAUUUGAGCAGUUUUGACUGCUUUUCACCAUCGGAGCUUGAUCGAAAGUUCUUUGGGGAACAGAGUUUGCCUUCUACUUUGUCACUGGGCCGAAUGUCAAAAUCAAGCGUUUCAUCUGAUGGUUUAGUUGAUGGCUCUGAAGUCAAACCUUUGAUCAAGACUUCUCUCAGCACAUCGACUGAUCCAGCAUCUCUGUCUCAGCCAUGUUUCCCCAAUGACUUGAACAGCCACGAGUUGGAAAAUUGUCGCCUGUUAUUGCCAUUACAGGGCAAUUCAUCCACUCCCUACGUUCUCCUGCAAAAGCGAGAAAAGGCUCAUUUUGACCAGUCAUACAGUGACCUUACUGCCUCUCGAAUGUCUUUGGAUGUGUCUGUGAUUAAGCCGGACAGCAAUAGCCCGCAACUCCGGACCGAGUCGAGCACUUUGGAGCUGUGGAGUCCAAAACUGCAAUCUGGACCACAUUCAAGACCAGAAGUUUCUCCUUGAUCUGAUGCACUCCUUUUAUGUAUCCAAAUUGUGAUUGAGAAAUGAAGAUUUUUAAACAAGUGGUAAUAAAAGUUGCUAUUUGCUUGA